rnacentral:rRNA from 1 species
AACGAACGCUGGCGGCAGGCUUAACACAUGCAAGUCGAGCGCUCACUUCGGUGGGAGCGGCAGACGGGUGAGUAACGCGUGGGAACCUACCUAGUAGUGCGGAAUAGCUCCUGGAAACGGGAAUUAAUACCGCAUACGCCCUUUGGGGGAAAGAUUUAUCGCUAUUAGAUGGGCCCGCGUUGGAUUAGUUAGUUGGUGGGGUAAUGGCCUACCAAGACGACGAUCUAUAGCUGGUCUGAGAGGAUGAUCAGCCACACUGGGACUGAGACACGGCCCAGACUCCUACGGGAGGCAGCAGUGGGGAAUAUUGGACAAUGGGGGCAACCCUGAUCCAGCCAUGCCGCGUGAGUGAUGAAGGCCUUAGGGUUGUAAAGCUCUUUCGCUAGGGAAGAUAAUGACGGUACCUAGUAAAGAAGCCCCGGCUAACUUCGUGCCAGCAGCCGCGGUAA